ACAUAAUAAACCCACGGUGUAAUUACAUCCACUCGAGGUUAACGCUCUCAUUAAAUGCUGCAGCUCGCUGUUUUUUUGGCAGUAAAAAUUAACCUUUUUACUGCUGGGUUGUUAAAGUAUUUUAUCUUUUUUGGGUUACAUAAGUGACUGCAGUGCAUUAACACACAUGUUCCUUCAAGCGUGCAACAUGCUGCACAGAGCGACCUCUUCUUCUUCUCCUCCUCUCUCUGCUCUCACCCGUUUCACUGGCUGGAUGGCCAAAUCACCCCUGACAGGCCGGAGCUUUUCAUGCGGCUCUGCGAGUGUUUGUGUGGCACACUGUACAAAAGAGCAGGGACACACAGGACCCUCUUCAGCGCGUCAGGCUGCCCGCUGUUUGCUCAGACUGCCGAGGGGCUUCACGGGGCCGGAGGUCCGUCUGCCGUCGAUGAAGGCACGUCUGGAUCCCAACUGGAUGCUCAUCAACUCCACGAGGACCUCUUAACUUCAAACUGAAGCUCCUCUUCCCAUCUGAGAAGCUGAGGCAGCAGGAAUGAUCAUCAGACUGGGAAGACUGACACCGGGAUACUUCCGCCUCCUCCAGAGGCAGAUGUCGGGUGAGGUCCAGAUUCAGCCGCAGAGCAGCCUCAUCGAUCCCAUCGCCAUGACGAUGGCCGUGGUGGGGAUGGGAGUGUCUCUGUACAGCGCCAGGCGGAUGUCAGAGAGAGUCCAGCUGAAGCGGCCAAACGCCUGAGAGAUCUCACCUGUUCACUGGUUCAGUUUCUGCUGCACAGGCGGCUCAUGCGACAGAGGGUGUGUUUGUGAACGUCAGAGAAAGUCAGCGGAGGGGGAGUGUGUUUAUGUGUGUGGGUGUGUCUGUGUGGUGCUAGAAGGAAAAUCUAAGUGUCCCCAAAGGAAAAUGUGAGUCGGUGAUCAGCAUGUGUGAAGCUGUAGUUUGAUAACCCUACGUGUUGUGUGCAGGAUAUCUUUAAAAGGAGUGCGUAUUAAAUCAGAGAUUUGUACUUUAAUGCAAUUAAUCCUCAAUUAACAAACAGCAUUAGAGUUUAGUUUUAAUUUAAAAAUGUGUAUAAUACAGAUGUAAUCCAAUUCAAUUCAAUUUUAUUUAUGUAGAACCAAAUCACAACAACAGUC